rnacentral:rRNA from 1 species
UACGUAGGGGGCAAGCGUUGUCCGGAUUUAUUGGGCGUAAAGAGCGUGUAGGCGGCCAUACAGGUCCGUUGUGAAAACUCGAGGCUUAACCUCGAGACGUCGAUGGAAACCGUAUGGCUAGAGUCCGGAAGAGGAGAGUGGAAUUCCAGGUGUAGCGGUGAAAUGCGCAGAUAUCAGGAAGAACACCCGUGGCGAAGGCGGCUCUCUGGGACGGUACUGACGCUGAGACGCGAAAGCGUGGGGAGCGAACAGG